rnacentral:tRNA from 1 species
GGAGGCGUUCGGGCGGCUGGUGCCCCCCACGGUCUUCAAAACCGAUGUGACCCGGGAUCCGGGUCAGGCGGGUUCGAUUCCCGUCCGCCUCCGCCA